rfam:Lysobacter arseniciresistens ZS79 contig3, whole genome shotgun sequence.
CAUCCAUCGAGACCGGCUGAGGGACAGGCCCUUUGAAGCCGGGGCAACCCAGCGGCGUGCAAGCGUCGCGAAGGUGCCAAUUCCUGCGGACGCCGGCGUGCCGGUCUCCGGAAGAUGGUUG